rnacentral:lncRNA from 1 species
GACCCAUUGUCCAUUUCGGUUUUAUCAUCAUUUUUCUGCAGUAAUCUCGUUUUUACUUUGAGUUUCUUGGAUUGGAGGAUGAAAAUGGAGUUGUUGUCAAGUUUGGUAGUGAAAAAGGCUUAAGUUGGUGCAUGGGUAUUGUAUUCUUGAGCCAUUUUCUUCUAGCAUUUUUUUUUUGAUGUUGGGAAACAAAUUUGGAGCUGGACUUUGUGCUUGAUGAUGGUGGCAUAGGGGUUUGGUUUUGUUUGGGUCAAAAGGUUGAAGAAAAGUGUGUUUUGAAGUUGGAUUUAUGAAGGUAGAACUUGGUUUUAUUGUUCUUGAAUCAUUUGGCAAUUGAGCUUUGGGUUCCUUGGAGUGUGUUCAAGGUUUGGAGAUGGAAGAAACAAUUUGGAUGUUGGUUUGUUGAAGAAAAAAACNAAUUUGGAGUGGAGAAGGAAGAGAGAAGGUGUAAUUAAUUUUUUACCCGAUUUGGCCAACCACACAUGGAGCUACCUUUGACUAAGGGAACAUUUCCUCUUUAAGUUNUGUCUUAAAGCUUGUUUCAGCCGUGAAAUGCUAAGGGAAUGAAGUGUUUGUUGUUUUUUUUCCUUGGGUUUUGCUUACUUGGCACAUUGGAAGUAGCAUUUGAGGUUGAAUUGGUUUGGAAGCAAUUUCUCUUGUAACCCUUUGCAUUGUUUACGUGAAUUGCUUGGCUUGGUGUGGUUUCCAUUUUAUUUUGCUGCAUGCAAGGAGUGGUGGACGGUUUUAGUUGAUGUGGAAGGCAUAUGUUUGUUGUCUUGAAGUAUGGAACACAUGGAUAAGAAGUCAACACACCUUGCAUGUUCAUUUAAGGAAGAAAAGUCAAAAUUGAAAUUGGACCUUGGUGGGCUAGGAGCUCACGGCCCAAGGGGGUUUCUCAAGUUAUUUUCACCUUUUAAUUUCAAUUGGUAGAUGAAUAUUGGUCACAUAAUUGAUAGAUGAAAAAGCAUGUUUAAUUAUCUCUUGUUUUGCAUUAAUUUGCAUAGUAGGAUUAAUUGCAUUUGAUUCCUCUAAUUUAGUGUUGCAUUUUAAUAGUCUUAAUUGUGUUUAGAUAAUUGUUUGUUGAAAUGUUGGGUUUAGCACUUUAUUUUACCUUGAUGUUUUCUAACUUACACAGUUGAGUUUAAUGUCCAUUCAUUUUAAUUUAGUUAUUCGUAUUCACAAAAACACUUUUCAACCCCCCCCCUUUCGUGUUAGACUUGACUCUGA